rnacentral:rRNA from 1 species
AACGGUAACAGGAAGAAGCUUGCUUCUUUGCUGACGAGUGGCGGAUGGGUGAGUAAUGUCUGGGAAACUGCCUGAUGGAGGGGGAUAACUACUGGAAACGGUAGCUAAUACCGCAUAACGUCGCAAGACCAAAGAGGGGGACCUUCGGGCCUCUUGCCAUCGGAUGUGCCCAGAUGGGAUUAGCUAGUAGGUGGGAUAACGGCUCACCUAGGCGACGAUCCCUAGCUGGUCUGAGAGGAUGACCAGCCACACUGGAACUGAGACACGGUCCAGACUCCUACGGGAGGCAGCAGUGGGGAAUAUUGCACAAUGGGCGCAAGCCUGAUGCAGCCAUGCCGCGUGUAUGAAGAAGGCCUUCGGGUUGUAAAGUACUUUCAGCGGGGAGGAAGGGAGUAAAGUUAAUACCUUUGCUCAUUGACGUUACCCGCAGAAGAAGCACCGGCUAACUCCGUGCCAGCAGCCGCGGUAAUACGGAGGGUGCAAGCGUUAAUCGGAAUUACUGGGCGUAAAGCGCACGCAGGCGGUUUGUUAAGUCAGAUGUGAAAUCCCCGGGCUCAACCUGGGAACUGCAUCUGAUACUGGCAAGCUUGAGUCUCGUAGAGGGGGGUAGAAUUCCAGGUGUAGCGGUGAAAUGCGUA